rnacentral:rRNA from 1 species
UACGAAGGGGGCAAGCGUUACUCGGAAUUACUGGGCGUAAAGCGUGCGUAGGUGGUUUGUUAAGUCUGAUGUGAAAUCCCCGGGCUCAACCUGGGAAUGGCGAUGGAUACUGGCGAGCUAGAGUGUGUCAGAGGAUGGUGGAAUUCCCGGUGUAGCGGUGAAAUGCGUAGAGAUCGGGAGGAACAUCAGUGGCGAAGGCGGCCAUCUGGGACAACACUGACGCUGAAGCACGAAAGCGUGGGGAGCAAACAGG